rnacentral:rRNA from 1 species
CCAGACUCCUACGGGAGGCAGCAGUGGGGAAUAUUGCACAAUGGGCGGAAGCCUGAUGCAGCAACGCCGCGUGCGGGAUGACGGCCUUCGGGUUGUAAACCGCUUUCGCCUGUGACGAAGCGUGAGUGACGGUAAUGGGUAAAGAAGCACCGGCUAACUACGUGCCAGCAGCCGCGGUGAUACGUAGGGUGCGAGCGUUGUCCGGAUUUAUUGGGCGUAAAGGGCUCGUAGGUGGUUGAUCGCGUCGGAAGUGUAAUCUUGGGGCUUAACCCUGAGCGUGCUUUCGAUACGGGUUGACUUGAGGAAGGUAGGGGAGAAUGGAAUUCCUGGUGGAGCGGUGGAAUGCGCAGAUAUCAGGAGGAACACCAGUGGCGAAGGCGGUUCUCUGGGCCUUUCCUGACGCUGAGGAGCGAAAGCGUGGGGAGCGAACAGGCUUAGAUACCCUGGUAGUCCACGCUGUAAACGGUGGGUACUAGGUGUGGGGUCCAUUCCACGGGUUCCGUGCCGUAGCUAACGCUUUAAGUACCCCGCCUGGGGAGUACGGCCGCAAGGCUAAAACUCAAAGGAAUUGACGGUGGCCCGCACAAG